GGGUUUGCCUGCCGGCCACCCUUUCUUUUUUUUUGUAUCUUUUUUUCCUUCCUUAGCCUCUUUUACAGCUUCCUCAUCCACCGAAGUCACGCUCGAGUCUCUAGACGACCGCGACCUAGUUAUCGGUGUUUUACGCUUAGCCCCUCGUGUAUCUGUUUCCAUAUUUUCAAUCUCGGAAGAUGUAGUAGGUUCGGAGAAAGGGUUAAAUGUUUGUUUUUCUCCUCUUGCAGUGACAGUUCCUGUAGGAACUUGGAAAGCAUGUAGUGGGUAGUUUUCCAAAGCCUUUCUUGUGGAGCAAUCGAUUGUGCUGGCAUGGGUGCAGGCGUGGUCGUGACCUGCGCAAACGACGUACUAGGGAUUACCAUAGUAUCUACCUUCUUCUUAGCUUCAGGUUUGGGCAUUCAACUGGUACUUCACAGGGGAUAACACCAUGUGGUGGUUUGCCACAGACACACCUCUGUUCGUGCUUACAAUUCAUUGACGAAUGACCAAACCUUUGACAAUUAAAGCACCGCAACGGAUUAGGUAUAUAAGGACGAACUUUCAGUGGAUAAAACGCUGCCUGUAUCGAUCUUGGUAGUCGUGGGACAUUAAAGGUGAGUA